UACAGAGGGGGCAAGCGUUGUUCGGAAUUACUGGGCGUAAAGGGCGCGUAGGCGGCCUGCUAAGUCGAACGUGAAAUCCCCGGGCUCAACCCGGGAACUGCGUCCGAGACUGGCGGGCUUGAAUUCGGGAGAGGGAUGCGGAAUUCCAGGUGUAGCGGUGAAAUGCGCAGAUAUCAGGAAGAACACCAAUGGCGAAGGCAGCUCUCUGGGACGGUACUGACGCUGAGACGCGAAAGCGUGGGGAGCGAACAGG
rnacentral:rRNA from 1 species